UUACGGGUUGGCCUACCAGGCGACGACGGGUAGCCGGCCUGAGAGGGCGACCGGCCACACUGGGACUGAGACACGGCCCAGACUCCUACGGGAGGCAGCAGUGGGGAAUAUUGCACAAUGGGCGCAAGCCUGAUGCAGCAACGCCGCGUGAGGGAUGACGGCCUUCGGGUUGUAAACCUCUUUCAGCAGGGACGAAGCGAAAGUGACGGUACCUGCAGAAGAAGCACCGGCCAACUACGUGCCAGCAGCCGCGGCCG
rnacentral:rRNA from 1 species